rnacentral:tRNA from 1 species
CGUAGCUCAGCUGGAUAGAGCAACUGCCUUCUAAGCAGUAGGUCGCAGGUUCGAAUCCUGCCGGG